rnacentral:rRNA from 1 species
UACGUAUGGAGCAAGCGUUAUCCGGAUUUACUGGGUGUAAAGGGAGCGCAGGCGGUCUGGCGAGUCUGAUGUGAAAGGCCGGGGCUCAACUCCGGGACUGCAUUGGAAACUGCCAGACUGGAGUGUCGGAGAGGUAAGCGGAAUUCCUAGUGUAGCGGUGAAAUGCGUAGAUAUUAGGAGGAACACCAGUGGCGAAGGCGGCUUACUGGACGAUGACUGACGCUGAGGCUCGAAAGCGUGGGGAGCAAACAGG